GUCAGUUGGUUCCACACUGUCUAACCACUGACCACAUUACAGCGACCUCCGUCUUCGUUGCCACCACUGAUGUCUCUUACCAACGUUGUCAACAACAUCUGCACAGCACCAACACACUGCACUGGUUCUAACAUAUCGCUGUUCGUGAGCUUUCCUCGCCAGGGUUAAC